GACAUAUCCCAAGUUGCACUGAAGGUGUUACCGAUUCUCCUGGCACCCAUUUGCAAGGAACUAUCCAUGGUAGGUUUUGGGAUUUACUGUAUAAUCUGCAUGUAUCAUUGAAAAAUGCUUGUUUCACAUUUCCUGCAGUACGUGCUUUGUCUGAGACAUUGCUAAGAAUACAUCUGAUUUCCCAUUUUAGCUGCAAAACGAAUGACUGCUAUAUAGCUGCUGGGCUGUUGUAUGUUUCGGAUCAUUUUUAUAUCUCAGUUUUGUUCCUGUACAACCAUGUCUGACAGCAAUGAGUCAGGGGCUCACUCUUCGAAACACUGUUGGCAUUUCUAUUAAAUAUAUGUUGAUCUAAGGGGUCUGCAUUUAUCUAACAGGCCUGCUUGUAAUGAGGCCUGUAGGUUCCUUGUUUACCAAGCUUCAAAGAAACAAAAGGUGACCUUAUUAUACAUAUUGCUUUCCUGUAAAAAUAUCAACAGUUAGUUCUGCUCAAGGGAAAUCACCCUUAAUAAGGUCCAAGGACGGAGGCAGACACUUCUGGCAGUUUCACUUUCAGGAAUCAACCACCAGCACUUACUUUAAAAACAUCCUGGUUAGGGAGAGAGAAACAUACUGUUUUAUUUUUUAUUUAUUUUUUAAGGAGGAAAGUAUUUUAAAAAAUGUGACUGGAAUGAAGAGGUUGCAAUUGCAACACUACCUGAUACAAUCUCCCUUGCCAUUGUGCAUCAGGAUAAUAGCUGGCUGCAUCACUAUUAGAAUAAUAGCCACUUAAACAAUUGCAACUGGGCAUAUAAGUAACAAAAGCAUUAGACACUUGGCGUAGCACUCUUAAGAGGCUGAUAACAGUAAAGCAUCAUUUAUUGCACAAUCUGAUAAUGAGCAAGGAGUAGAGGUAUUUCCAUGACUUUAGAAGAAUUCAGACUUCCUACCUUUCUUUGCAAGAUAGCUGGAAGGUAUGUCCCUCUUUAAAGAAAGUUGUAAGUAAAACCAGGUAGCAGUUGCAGUAAAUUGAGUCCUUUUCAGUCAGUGUGUACAAGCAGCAGUUCUGCUGGAAGGGGGAAAAAUAGAAUGGGAGGAGCAGCUGUGAACGAGUGACCUCCUGAAGCGGAGUUCUCUUUGUGCAUCGAGCACUUGGGAGCCAGUGGCUCUGAUUUGCAUGGAUUAUCUCCACUUGAACAGAUACAUUUAAAUUUAUCUGGCACAGUGGCAAAAGAUGGAAGAGUAAGUGAGUGCGAGAGACAAGAGAGAGAGAGAGAGGGAGAGAGAAAGAAAGGGAAAAAAAGCAGACAAGUGAUCGGAAAGCUUGGCUGGGGAAGCUAGUUCAGGCUGAACUAGGCAUGUGUCUGAAGAACCACAGCUCCCUCUUCAUGUCAUACUCAUAAGAGGAGAAUUGCUGUCAUAAAGGACUGCUUAAAUGCAAGGAGGGGGGAAGAAAACGAGACGCUCUCUUUCAUUAGGUUAGGUUUUUUUAAAAUGAAGAUUUAAAAGUAAGAGUCGCUGUUAGUAAUCAUAGUAAUGCAACUGCUGUUUAGCCUUAAUAUGAAACUUCAGAGUGUUCAUCAAAGUGUUCCACAUAUAUUAUCUUGGUCGUCCUUGCAACAGCCCCGUAUAGGAUGCUUUUAUUAUUCCUGGAUCACGAGGGGAUUGCUUGUGCUGAGACACAGCAGCUGGCCUAGAGCCUGGUACUCAGCGGCAAGCAGGGCAAGGUUAUAAGCUGUAUGCAGAAGUAAGUCCUACGGAGUUCAGUGAUACUUACUCCCAGUUUAGAAUUUAGGAUUGCAGAUGUGCAGUGCAAUUCUUUGCAUGUUUGCUAAAAAGUAAGACUCCAUGGGACGUGGGUGGUGCUGUGGGUUAAACCACAGAGCCUAGGGCUUGCUGAUCAGAAGGUCGUGGUUCGAAUCCCCGCGACGGGGUGAGCUCCCAUUGCUCGGUCCCUGCUCCUGACAACCUAGCAAUUCGAAAGCAUGUCAAAGUGCAAGUAGAUAAAUAGGUACCGCUCUGGCGGGAAGGUAAACGGCAUUUCCGUGCGCUGCUCUGGUUUGCCAGAAGUGGCUUAGUCAUGCUGGCCACAUGACCCAGAAGCUGUAUGCUGGCUCCCUCGGCCAAUAAAGCGAGAUGAGCGCCGCAACCCCAGAGUCAGCCACGACUGGACCUAAUGGUCAGGGGUCCCUUUACCUUUACCUUUAAGACUCCAGUACAUAGAAGCCAGAUCCUAGGGGCUUAGGUCCCUUUGCCCCCCCCAAAAAAAUAUUUAAGGGGGAUGGGAUCCCCAAGGUUGAUGGGCAUUGCUAUUCAAAUGGUGUGUGAGUGCACACUGCAUCUUUUGAGUGAUUAUUUAUUCAAAUUGGCACCCCUGAUCAGUGGCACUUACUCCCAAGUAUGUGAGCAGAGGAUUGCAGUCUCAAUCAAAGAGCACAACAAAAGUAAGGGCAGGAUGAUAACAUGUGUUCUUAAACCCCUCUGAACACCAGGAAUAUGCACCAAUCAGAAGGGCAUCAGGAGACACCUUGCUGAAGUAUAUAUGAGUAGAUAUAUAUAUAUAUAUACUCAAUCAAUCAAUCAGUCAGUCUCAAUGCAGAUCCUACCACUGCACAGGCUAUGACAAGGCACCCCAGACAGGUAAGUGAGUGGAGGAUCCACCAGGGAAGGAAAGUCACUGCCUCAACACAAUCAUCUCUCCCCACGCCUGCCCUCAAGCCCUCCAAGAUGUACAGGGCACUCAAACCCAAUAGCUAAAACACGAAUCCCUCUUCCUCCUAAGAGAUGUAGACACCAUGUCUUGGAUGAACAACAUUGCACACCAGGUUGUAUCAAGGUCACCUGCCAACAGGAUUAAGGGAAAGAUGUAUACUGCAUGUGGUGAAGGUUGCAAAGCCCUAAGCUGCCCUCUUCUGUGCCAAACCAUCUACCUCAGUCCUGCCUUUGCUGACUGGCCACAGGUCAGCAAAGACCCUUGAGAUGCUGGUGGUGAACCUGGGAUUUCACCAUGCAAAACGUGUGCUCUGCCAAUACAUGAUGGCAUUUCCUCAAAGGAAAUGGGAAGCAGGGUCACCUUUUCUGGGAAGGAAAAAGUGUUCCAUAACAUGCCAUAUUAGUCAUGGGAAAACACACAGGCAGACAUUGUGCAUUCUCUCUGCAGGUCCAAAGACAGGAGAAAUAUCGGCAGAAGAAAUUUUAGCAGAUGACAGACACUUCCUACCAUGGAUGCGUGAGAGUUAUCAGUGUCAACAUAAGUCACACCUGCACUAUCCAUUCAAAGCUAAAUCAUGCCACUUUAAACAGUCAAAUUCUGGCAGCUAUUGUUUGUAUGCAUAAAGUUGUUAGGAGACCCUGAUCUCCUUCACAGAGCUAGAGUUCCCAGAGUGGUAUAGCAAUCAUCUGUUUUCACAGGGAAUGCUGGGAAUUGUCAUUCUGUGGGAGGGGGAAUAGGGGUUUCUUAACAACUCACAGCAUAUUUAGUGAACUACAGAAUGCUUCAGGGGGAGCCAGGUCUGUUUAAAGUGGUAUCAAAGUGCUUUAAAUAUAUGGCGUGAAUGUAGCCACUCAGCAGAUGAAACCCCUGUCAUAGAUGCUAUUGUAAUGACUCAGUCAAUGCACUUUGGAAAUGGAGGCACUUUUCUCAACGACGAUUCUCAAUGGCCACUCACUCCCAGGCUGCAAUCUAUUAUACUUUAGUAUCCUUGUGUUUCUCUGUUUUCUCUUCAUAGGCAAAGAGGCAGCCAUCCAACAGGAUGCCAUGGCAGCAGAAAACUAAAAAUCAAAUACAGUUAACCCACCACAUGAUCACGAGAGAGGACACUCAGAAGUCUGGGAGGCUAAAUGUCACCCAAGCACUACGGAGGAAACAAAUUAAAUCAACACUUGAGUGAAGCCGCACAACCC
rnacentral:lncRNA from 1 species